rnacentral:rRNA from 1 species
AUUGAACGCUGGCGGCAGGCCUAACACAUGCAAGUCGAACGAGUGGCGGACGGGUGAGUAAUGUCUGGGAAACUGCGCGAUGGAGGGGGAUAAAUACUGGACACGGUAGCUAAUACCGCAUACCAUCGGGUGUGCCCAGAGGGGAUUAGCUAGUAGGUGGGGUAACGGCGCACCUAGGCGACGCGCCCUAGCUGGUCUGAGAGGAUGACCAGCCACACGGGAACUGAGACACGGGCCAGACUCCUACGGGAGGCAGCAGUGGGGAAUAUUGCACAAUGGGCGCAAGCCUGAUGCAGCCAUGCCGCGUGUAUGAAGAAGGCCUUCGGGUUGUAAAGUACUUUCAGCGAGGAGGCGUUACUCGCAGAAGAAGCACCGGCUAACUCCGUGCCAGCAGCCGCGGUAAUUC